GGAUUGCCCUAGUAACGGCGAGUGAAGCGGCAACAGCUCAAAUUUGAAAUCUGGCUCUCGGGCCCGAGUUGUAAUUUGUAGAGGAUGCUUUUGAUGCGGUGCCUUCCGAGUUCCCUGGAACGGGACGCCAUAGAGGGUGAGAGCCCCGUCUGGUUGGAUGCCAAAUCUCUGUAAAGCUCCUUCGACGAGUCGAGUAGUUUGGGAAUGCUGCUCUAAAUGGGAGGUAUAUGUCUUCUAAAGCUAAAUACCGGCCAGAGACCGAUAGCGCACAAGUAGAGUGAUCGAAAGAUGAAAAGCACUUUGAAAAGAGAGUUAAAAAGUACGUGAAAUUGUUGAAAGGGAAGCGUUUAUGACCAGACUUGGGCUUGGUUAAUCAUCUGGGGUUCUCCCCAGUGCACUUUUCCAGUCCAGGCCAGCAUCAGUUUUCGCCGGGGGAUAAAGGCUUCGGGAAUGUGGCUCCCUCCGGGGAGUGUUAUAGCCCGUUGCGUAAUACCCUGGCGGGGACUGAGGUUCGCGCUUCUGCAAGGAUGCUGGCGUAAUGGUCAUCAACGACCC
rnacentral:rRNA from 1 species